UACGUAGGGGGCAAGCGUUGUCCGGAAUCAUUGGGCGUAAAGCGCGCGUAGGCGGCCCGGUAAGUCCGCUGUAAAAGUCCAGGGCUCAACCCUGGAAGCCGGUGGAUACUGUCGGGCUAGAGUCCGGAAGAGGCGAGUGGAAUCCUGGUGUAGCGGUGGAAUGCGCAGAUAUCAGGAGGAACACCAGCAGCGGCGAAGGCAGCUCGCUGGGACGGUACUGACGCUAGG
rnacentral:rRNA from 1 species